rnacentral:pre_miRNA from 1 species
UUUAGGACUCGAGAUAUGGCUCAAACACCAAACAGUGUCUAGGCUAUAGACAGAUUCAGACUUCUCGUUUGCUUCUAAGAUUUGAACUCCAAAACGGCAGUCUUGAGUCUUGGACUCUUCAUAAAUGUUUUAGGCCUAUUUCUUAUUUUUCCAUC